rnacentral:rRNA from 1 species
UGGGGAAUAUUGCACAAUGGGCGCAAGCCUGAUGCAGCCAUGCCGCGUGUGUGAAGAAGGCCUUCGGGUUGUAAAGCACUUUCAGCGGGGAGGAAGGCGAUAAGGUUAAUAACCUCAUCGAUUGACGUUACCCGCAGAAGAAGCACCGGCUAACUCCGUGCCAGCAGCCGCGGUAAUACGGAGGGUGCAAGCGCUAAUCGGAAUUACUGGGCGUAAAGCGCACGCAGGCGGUCUGUCAAGUCGGAUGUGAAAUCCCCGGGCUCAACCUGGGAACUGCUUUCAAAACUGGCAGGCUAGAGUCUUGUAGAGGGGGGUAGAAUUCCAGGUGUAGCGGUGAAAUGCGUAGGGAUCAGGAGGAAUACCGGUGGCGAAGGCGGCCCCCUGGACAAAGACUGACGCUCAGGUGCGAAAGCGUGGGGAGCAAACAGG